AAAUUGAAGAGUUUGAUCAUGGCUCAGAUUGAACGCUGGCGGCAGGCCUAACACAUGCAAGUCGAGCGGAAACGAGUUAUCAGAACCUUCGGGGAACGAUAACGGCGUCGAGCGGCGGACGGGUGAGUAAUGCCUAGGAAAUUGCCCUGAUGUGGGGGAUAACCAUUGGAAACGAUGGCUAAUACCGCAUGAUGCCUACGGGCCAAAGAGGGGGACCUUCGGGCCUCUCGCGUCAGGAUAUGCCUAGGUGGGAUUAGCUAGUUGGUGAGGUAAGGGCUCACCAAGGCGACGAUCCCUAGCUGGUCUGAGAGGAUGAUCAGCCACACUGGAACUGAGACACGGUCCAGACUCCUACGGGAGGCAGCAGUGGGGAAUAUUGCACAAUGGGCGCAAGCCUGAUGCAGCCAUGCCGCGUGUGUGAAGAAGGCCUUCGGGUUGUAAAGCACUUUCAGUCGUGAGGAAGG
rnacentral:rRNA from 1 species